rnacentral:misc_RNA from 1 species
GAUGAAGAACGUAGCGAAAUGCGAUAAGUAGUGUGAAUUGCAGAAUUCAGUGAAUCAUCGAAUCUUUGAACGCACAUUGCGCCCCUUGGUAUUCCAUGGGGCAUGCCUGUUCGAGCGUCAUUUGUACCCUCAAGCUUUGCUUGGUGUUGGGUGUUUGUCCCGCGUUGCGCGUGGACUCGCCUUAAAGCGAUUGGCAGCCGGCAUAUUGGCCUUGGAGCGCAGCACAUUUUGCGCUUCUAGUCAUGAAUGUUGGCGUCCAUUAAGCCUAUACAUUUGCUCUUGACCUCGGAUCGGGUAGGGAUACCCGCUGAACUUAAGCAUAUCAAUAAGCGGAGGA